CCUACGGGGGCAGCAGUGGGGAAUAUUGGACAAUGGGCGAAAGCCUGAUCCAGCCAUGCCGCGUGUGUGAAGAAGGCCUUCGGGUUGUAAAGCACUUUCAGUGGGGAAGAAAGCCUUGGGGCUAAUACCCUCGAGGAAGGACAUCACCCACAGAAGAAGCACCGGCUAACUCCGUGCCAGCAGCCGCGGUAAUACGGAGGGUGCGAGCGUUAAUCGGAAUUACUGGGCGUAAAGCGCGCGUAGGCGGUCUGAUAAGCCGGUUGUGAAAGCCCCGGGCUCAACCUGGGAACGGCAUCCGGAACUGUCAGGAUAGAGUGCAGGAGAGGAAGGUAGAAUUCCCGGUGUAGCGGUGAAAUGCGUAGAGAUCGGGAGGAAUACCAGUGGCGAAGGCGGCCUUCUGGACUGACACUGACGCUGAGGUGCGAAAGCGUGGGUAGCAAACAGGAUUAGAUACCCUAGUAGUC
rnacentral:rRNA from 1 species